rnacentral:rRNA from 1 species
GACGAACGCUGGCGGCGUGCUUAACACAUGCAAGUCGAACGGAAAGGCCCUGCUUUGGUGGGGUGCUCGAGUGGCGAACGGGUGAGUAACACGUGAGUAACCUGCCCUUGACUUUGGGAUAACUUCAGGAAACUGGGGCUAAUACCGGAUAGGAGCUCCUGCUGCAUGGUGGGGGUUGGAAAGUUUCGGCGGUUGGGGAUGAACUCGCGGCUUAUCAGCUUGUUGGUGGGGUAGUGGCUUACCAAGGCUUUGACGGGUAGCCGGCCUGAGAGGGUGACCGGACAAAUUGGGCCUGAGAUGAGGCCCAGACUCAUCCGGGACGCAGCAGUGGGGAAUAUUGCACAAUGGGCGGAAGCCUGAUGUAGCAAAGCAGCGUGCGGGAUGACGGCAUUCGGGUUGUAAACCGCUUUCGCCUGUGACGAAGCGUGAGUGACGGUAAUGGGUAAAGAAGCACCGGCUAACUACGUG